CUUUUUCCCCCGUCACUCCUAUUACUCUUCUCUCCCUCAUACUCCUCAGCCGCUCACAUCCGUUGGAGAGUGGCUCGCCCUCAGAGCCAUCUGUUUCCAGGCAGCCUAGAAAGAUUGGUGAUUGUCGAGUCUCAUUCCCGGGUCGUCAAGUACCGAUGCUCUGGGCUGGUGGAUUGGACCAGGUCAACAAUGGGCGCAUCCACACCAUCGCACACGAGCAAAGAGGCCAAAGGGAAAAAAAAAGCAAACCUGGAAAACCUUUUAGCGAGCCCUAUUUUGACAUACAUAAUGUGUUCCAGAG
rnacentral:lncRNA from 1 species